GCGCGGUGGCUCCUGCAGGGACGCGGCUGCCGCUGCCGCCCAAGGCCGGGGUUGGGGCCGUCGCCGCAACGUGUUGCACGCCGUAGUCUCGCAUGUGUCGUGCUCAUACCGGCUGUUCGCGGCCCGUGCCGCUCCUGGUCGCCCUGCUGCGGCGGCAGCUCCCAGCUCAGCAGGCUCCAGCUGUUCGCUCUAAAAUUUUAAAGGACCUCUGCGUUCCCGCAAUUCAUUCCGGUGCUGCUCUCGCCACCUCCCCACGACUGCUGCAAGCCCCUUCUUGAAUUGCUCUGUACGUUACUGCUGCUUGGUGCAGGCGGGCAUUUGGGUACUAAGCGCCAGCCACCCGCUGUAAUAAGAAGCAUCAACACAUCAUUCGCCUCCGGCUCCGAAUCUGGAGCGAUUGUAUUACUUCUGGAAGUGCAAGAAUCCUCUGCCGGCCUCGGUCCAGUGUAAGUUUAUUUGCGGCUUCCGCUGUUAUUUACAAGUCACCGGGUUUGUUCUCCAUUCCCUGGGAACCGAAGUUGCCAGGCCGGGCGGGCGCUGCCCGCAGCCAGCCCGCUGCAGCGCGCCGCCCGCCCCCGGGGAGGCCCGGCGGCGUGAGGCCGCCCGCCGCCGCCGCUUAUGCAACACAUCAUCGAUAACCACCCCGAUAUGGCCACCGCGCUGCUGGCGGGCGAGAAGCUGAAGGAGCUCAUCCUGCCGGGGCAGCAGGAUGACAAGGCGGGCGCGCUGGCGGCUCUGCUGCUCCAGCUGAAGCUGGAGCUGCCCUUCGACCGGGUGGUCACCAUCGGCACCGUCCUCAUCCCUAUCCUCCUCGUCACCCUCGUCUUCACCAAGAACUUCGCCGGACAAGUGGUUUCAGAGAGUGGGAAAAAAAGGCUAUACCUUACCUUGUUGAUCAUGGAGAAAUUUGUACCUUAGGAAGACUUCAUGGGCAUGGAACCUAUAUUCAGAUAUGGAAAGAAUAUUCCUUAAGAAAGGUAAAGGGAGAAGAGGAUCCAGGACAUUUCUUCUUUUCAGUUUAAAAAUCACUGAAAAACAACUAAAUAAAUUAUUCCUGUUUCUCAAAAUAAAGAGUUUCCUACCUGCUUUCUUGUGCAGUCCUGUUACUAUCCAAGAUGAGUGAGGCAUGUGUGUCUGAUUGCUUACACAUAUGUGACAC